AUAAAAUACUAAAACAGUAUUUUCUCUCUCAUUGAAAAUAAAUUUUCAUUAUAAUAGAAAAAGUAAAUCUCACAUAAUUAUAAGAUAGUACAUAUACACCCAACGAUCCUCAAUGAACAAAAGGGAGAAAUGAACUUGCAUUCUGUUCAAAAUCCCACAAUUGAUUUCAGGAGAUCUCCAAUUGUGGUCCCUAUAUUAGCCUGACCAGUGUGUCCUUUUAACCUGCCUUUAACGUAUACUAUAUUCUCUAGUGGCCAAUCAAGAAAGAGAGAGAAAGGAAGAGGGGGGGGGGUCCAUUCUUUUGUAUGGGAUUCCCUAGUAGCUAUAAUCAUAAUCCUGCUGCUGCUGCACAUACUUUUACUUUCCCCAGAAUCCAUACCUUUUUUCUUUCUUUCUUGAAUCCCUGGCUAGACGUGUGUUUGUGUGUCUGCCCAUUGAGAAAGCAAGAAUUGCAGGGAAGGAAAAGAAAAGAAAGAACGUGUUAUGACACCGUAUGAUCAUGCGUGCAGAUAAACCUAAUCUAUAGUCUAAGCAAAGUGUUAGUCUCAUAGUCUGAUGAUCUAGCUUUUCACUAAGUGUUAGUCUCAUAGUCUGAUUGAUCUUGCUCUUCACUUUCUCUGUAAGAAAUUAAUUAAGUUCUAUUUUAAUGGAAUUAUGUACUAGACAAAUUAAUGGGAUCAAAAAAACAAAUAGGGUAACG
rnacentral:misc_RNA from 1 species